AAAUUGAAGAGUUUGAUCAUGGCUCAGAUUGAACGCUGGCGGCAGGCCUAACACAUGCAAGUCGAACGGUAACAGGAAACAGCUUGCUGUUUCGCUGACGAGUGGCGGACGGGUGAGUAAUGUCUGGGAAACUGCCCGAUGGAGGGGGAUAACUACUGGAAACGGUAGCUAAUACCGCAUAACGUCGCAAGACCAAAGAGGGGGACCUUCGGGCCUCUUGCUAUCGGAUGUGCCCAGAUGGGAUUAGCUAGUAGGUGGGGUAACGGCUCACCUAGGCGACGAUCCCUAGCUGGUCUGAGAGGAUGACCAGCCACACUGGAACUGAGACACGGUCCAGACUCCUACGGGAGGCAGCAGUGGGGAAUAUUGCACAAUGGGCGCAAGCCUGAUGCAGCCAUGCCGCGUGUAUGAAGAAGGCCUUCGGGUUGUAAAGUACUUUCAGCGGGGAGGAAGGGAGUAAAGUUAAUACCUUUACUCAUUGACGUUACCCGCAGAAGAAGCACCGGCUAACUCCGUGCCAGC
rnacentral:rRNA from 1 species